rnacentral:rRNA from 1 species
CCUACGGGGGGCAGCAGUGAGGAAUAUUGGUCAAUGGGCGGGAGCCUGAACCAGCCAAGCCGCGUGAGGGAAGAAGGUCCAGCGUAUCGUAAACCUCUUUUGUCAGGGAACAACGGCGUGGACUUGUCCCCGGAUGAGUGUACCUUAAGAAAAAGCAUCGGCUAGCUCCGUUCCAUCAGCCGCGGUAAUACGGGGGAGGGGAGCGUUAUCCGGUUUUUUUGGGUUUAAAGGGGGCGUAGGGGGGCUGUUAAGUCAGAGGUAAAAGCCCGGGGCUCAACCCAGGCGAGCCGUUGAGACGGGCGUGCUGGAGUUGGAGAGAAGUAUGCGGAAUGCGCGGUGUAGCGGUGAAAUGCUUAGAUAUCACGCAGAACCCCGAUUGCGAAGGCAGCGGAUCGGCGCCAAACUGACGCUGAGGCACGAAAGCGUGGGUAUCGAACAGGAUUAGAUACCCUUGUAGUC